CCCCGAGUUAAAGACGUGCGGCCUUCACCUUCACCAUCGCAUGAACAGUUGUCAAAUCCAUCGAUUACACUGGUGACCCCUGAUUGCAACGAAAUACUA